AUUGAACGCUGGCGGCAGGCCUAACACAUGCAAGUCGAGCGAGCGGCGGACGGGUGAGUAAUGUAUGGGGACUGCCCGAUAGAGGGGGAUAACUACUGGAAACGGUUGCUAAUACCGCAUACUAUCGGAUAUCCCUUCUGGGAUGAGCUAGUAGGUGGGGUAAAGGCUCACCUAGGCGACGAUCGCUAGCUGGUCUGAGAGGAUGAACAGCCAAACUGGAACUGAGACACGGCCCAGACUCCUACGGAGGCAGCAGUGGGGAAUAUUGCACAAGGGGCGAAAGCCUGAUACAGCCAUGCCGCGUGUGUGAAGAAGGCCUUAGGAUUGUAAAGUACUUUCAGUAGGGAGGCGUUACCCACAGAAGAAGCACCGGCUAACUCCGUGCCAGCAGCCGCGGUAAUAC
rnacentral:rRNA from 1 species